GACGAACGCUGGCGGCGUGCUUAACACAUGCAAGUCGAACGAAGAGCGACGGAAGCUUGCUUCUCUCAAUCUUAGUGGCGAACGGGUGAGUAACGCGUAAUCAACCUGCCCUUCAGAGGGGGACAACAGUUGGAAACGACUGCUAAUACCGCAUACGAUCUAACCUCGGCAUCGAGGAUAGAUGAAAGGUGGCCUCUACAUGUAAGCUAUCACUGAAGGAGGGGAUUGCGUCUGAUUAGCUAGUUGGAGGGGUAACGGCCCACCAAGGCGAUGAUCAGUAGCCGGUCUGAGAGGAUGAACGGCCACAUUGGGACUGAGACACGGCCCAGACUCCUACGGGAGGCAGCAGUGGGGAAUCUUCCGCAAUGGACGAAAGGCUGACGGAGCAACGCCGCGUGAGGGAUGACGGCCGUCGGGUUGUAAAGCUCUGUUAAUCGGGACGAAAGGCCUUCUUGCGAAUAGUGAGAAGGAUUGACGGUACCGGAAUAGAAAGCCACGGCUAACUACGUG
rnacentral:rRNA from 1 species